rnacentral:misc_RNA from 1 species
AGCAUGGAUGAAAUUUUAAGGGAGUGCAACAGCAUGGCUGGCCAACUCAAUGUAUGGAAGCUGCUAGACGAUGCACAUGACUUGGUGGUCAACCUGCAUGACAAGAUAGAGGCUUCUUUCUGAUGGCUGCAUUUCGAGUAUGUUCACUAACUCAUGCUAAUUCUUUUUCUUAAUGGGAUAAUUCAAGCCUUCUUAUUACAACUUGAAACAAGCACUACAGAGGCUAUCCAUUCUCAAUUAUGGUUACUACUCAAAUGAUAUAUUUCAGAAGAUUUGUUUAGGCUUGUUUGCACCUAAUUCUACCACGCUAUGGAUUACAGCACAGGUUCUCCAUAUUCACCACCAUAUCAUGUUAAACAGGUAGGGCAUGUAUCCCAGUAUACCAUGUUGGAUGAGAAAUAUUAAGAUGACAAUCUGAUUCUCAAAUUUUUUCCCCAGCCGUCUCUAGUAUUGGAUUCUGUGUAACUGGCUGUUGAUUGAAGCUAUUUAAUUAAAGCAGGAUUAGGUGCUUGUAGCUUCUUCUGGCAGCUAAA